UGCGUAGGUGGAUUAUUAAGUCAGAUGUGAAACUCCCGGGCUUAACCUGGGAACUGCAUUUGAAACUGAUAGUCUAGAGUGCAGGAGAGGAAAGCGGAAUUCCUAGUGUAGCGGUGAAAUGCGUAGAUAUUAGGAAGAACACCAGUGGCGAAGGCGGCUUUCUGGACUGUAACUGACACUGAGGCACGAAAGCGUGGGGAGCAAACAGGAUUAGAUACCCUGGUAGUCCACGCUGUAAACUAUGAGUGCUAGGUGUAGGGGGUAUCGACACCCUCUGUGCCGCAGCAAACGCAAUAAGCACUCCGCCUGGGGAGUACGGUCGCAAGACUAAA
rnacentral:rRNA from 1 species